AUUUAUAAAAUAUUAAUAGUCUACUCAGCAUCAUCUGUUUCCUGCGAUAGAUACAAGCAUCAAAUAUGAUACUGCAAAAGGCAGAACCAAAAAGACAAACUACCAUCUGCUUUCAGACACAGCUACAAGAAAUCCUAAAAUACUUUGAAAUAUGUUUCCCUUUUUGCUUAGUCUCUGGUAACGUGUGAGCAUUUCUUCUACAUGUAAGCCAAAAUAAUUAAAUAAGCCAUGUAGCAGCUCACUCUGACAAGAAACGUAGCAAUAGGGAAGAUAAGAAUCUUCAGUAUGUCAUGUAACAAUUCGAGCCUCCAAGUCAUCCAGGACAUUUAUGCUUUCCUGAUUACCAGCAAAAGGUCAAUGCUGAUCUCAUACUGUACUUGUCAGUAAUCUCCCAUAUGAUAACAUUAAUAUUUUUCAGACUGAGAAAAAUCAAUGCAGAUUAUAUGCAUGGGAGGGAAACAGAGUUCACUUAGUGUUUCAUACACUGAUAACCUGCACCACUGAGUGCUGUUCCAAAGUUUAACAAUGUGAUGCUCUCUUCUUAGGGUUGAAACUUGUUUAUGUUCUGAAAAUAAGAUCUUAGUGGGGACAGAAAAAGAAGAAAGCAAUUUCUAAAGCUACAGGAAACACAAAACUGGAAUGUAUGGCAGCUUUCCACAAAAGAAACUUUGCUUAUGAAAAAAUUUCCCUAUAAAGGUGAAAAGUAAACUCAGCAUGCCAGUGAAUUAAAAUCUCAGCUAACAUAGUUAAUAACACGAGGAGAGAAAUGCAAGAAAUGAGAGUUGAUUUAAGAAUUCUUAUGCUUCCUAAUCCUGUACAGUGUAUGAGAAUUCAGUUUACUCAGAAGCUUCCUGAAGAAAAACAGCAGCAGAAAGCAGUAUAUCCUUCAGGUGGAAACUUCCUUAAAAUUCUGAUAAAACAUUAGAAAGCCCAUCCCUUAAAGUUCUGUACUUUACAUACAGAUGUCAUUUUGCCUCACAUUCUGCUUCAGUAUUUCUUUU
rnacentral:lncRNA from 1 species